GAGUUUGAUCCUGGCUCAGGAUGAACGCUGGCGGCGUGCCUAAUACAUGCAAGUCGAGCGAACAGACGAGGAGCUUGCUCCUCUGACGUUAGCGGCGGACGGGUGAGUAACACGUGGAUAACCUACCUAUAAGACUGGGAUAACUUCGGGAAACCGGAGCUAAUACCGGAUAAUAUAUUGAACCGCAUGGUUCAAUAGUGAAAGACGGUUUUGCUGUCACUUAUAGAUGGAUCCGCGCCGCAUUAGCUAGUUGGUAAGGUAACGGCUUACCAAGGCAACGAUGCGUAGCCGACCUGAGAGGGUGAUCGGCCACACUGGAACUGAGACACGGUCCAGACUCCUACGGGAGGCAGCAGUAGGGAAUCUUCCGCAAUGGGCGAAAGCCUGACGGAGCAACGCCGCGUGAGUGAUGAAGGUCUUCGGAUCGUAAAACUCUGUUAUUAGGGAAGAACAAAUGUGUAAGUAACUAUGCACGUCUUGACGGUACCUAAUCAGAAAGCCACGGCUAACUACGUGCCAGCAGCCGCGGUAAUACGUAGGUGGCAAGCGUUAUCCGGAAUUAUUGGGCGUAAAGCGCGCGUAGGCGGUUUUUUAAGUCUGAUGUGAAAGCCCACGGCUCAACCGUGGAGGGUCAUUGGAAACUGGAAAACUUGAGUGCAGAAGAGGAAAGUGGAAUUCCAUGUGUAGCGGUGAAAUGCGCAGAGAUAUGGAGGAACACCAGUGGCGAAGGCGACUUUCUGGUCUGUAACUGACGCUGAUGUGCGAAAGCGUGGGGGAUCAAACAGGAUUAGAUACCCUGGUAGUCCACGCCGUAAACGAUGAGUGCUAAGUGUUAGGGGGGUUUCCGCCCCUUAGUGCUGC
rnacentral:rRNA from 1 species